CCUGCGGCUCCGGAGACACGGGGCAGGACACGGCUCACUGUAACGGGAUAAAAACGGAUUCGGACAGUUGAGAGUGAGCCGGAAGCUCUCAUCGCCAUGGAAGUCAGUGCACGGAGCAGCAGCACCACCUACUGGCAGCCUGACAGACUGCACCAGGGGCCGGCUGGACGCAGACCAGUGGAGUGGACCACAUCUUCAGCAGCAUCCAGAGGACCAGAGGGCGGCAGAAGAAGGUGUCAGGAGAGGCAGGAGGCUAAGUGCAGACGGUCGGAGGCUGGGGAGGGUACCACAGAAAGUUUGGCCGUGGCAUCAGCUCCCUCUUCUAGCCCUGAACACGGUCUUCCUGAUCCAGUCCUGCUGGAACGAUGGGAGGUGUUCAUUCCAGCGCACAGGAAGCUCUGCAGGUGGAUGGAGCGCUGAACUCAAGCAGCCUGAUGGAGCAGCAGUGCUUCUAGAAGGGCUCCUGGUCGUCCUCGUGCUGCAUCGGUCUGUGUUCUCCAUGCGCCGUGGUGUCAGUGUCCAGCAGGUGGCGGUACAGAGCUGCGAUCAGGUCUGCGUUGGGAUUUAUCUCAUGGCUUCAGAAGAGAUAUCUAACACGAGAUGCACUUUCAGAAUGUUUAGAGCUGUUAAAGAAUUUGUGUUAUUUAAGUUUAA